rnacentral:rRNA from 1 species
AGAGUUUGAUCAUGGCUCAGAUUGAACGCUGGCGGAAUGCUUUACACAUGCAAGUCGAACGGUAGAGGGGCAACCCUCGAGAGUGGCGAACGGGUGAGUAAUACAUCGGAACGUGCCCAGUCGUGGGGGAUAACGCAGCGAAAGCUGUGCUAAUACCGCAUACGAUCUACGGAUGAAAGCGGGGGAUCGCAAGACCUCGCGCGAUUGGAGCGGCCGAUGGCAGAUUAGGUAGUUGGUGGGGUAAAGGCUCACCAAGCCUGCGAUCUGUAGCUGGUCUGAGAGGACGACCAGCCACACUGGGACUGAGACACGGCCCAGACUCCUACGGGAGGCAGCAGUGGGGAAUUUUGGACAAUGGGCGCAAGCCUGAUCCAGCCAUUCCGCGUGCAGGAUGAAGGCCCUCGGGUUGUAAACUGCUUUUGUACGGAACGAAACGGCGUCUUCUAAUACAAGGCGCUAAUGACGGUACCGUAAGAAUAAGCACCGGCUAACUACGUGCCAGCCGCCGCGGUAAUAC